rnacentral:rRNA from 1 species
UACGUAGGGCGCAAGCGUUGUCCGGAAUUAUUGGGCGUAAAGAGCUCGUAGGCGGCUUGUCACGUCUGCUGUGAAAUCCCGGGGCUCAACCCCGGGCGUGCAGUGGAUACGGGCUGGCUAGAGGCAGGCAGGGGAGAACGGGAUUCCCGGUGUAGCGGUGAAAUGCGCAGAUAUCGGGAGGAACACCGGUGGCGAAGGCGGUUCUCUGGGCCUGUACUGACGCUGAGGAGCGAAAGCGUGGGGAGCGAACAGG